rnacentral:rRNA from 1 species
UGGGGAAUUUUGCACAAUGGGGGAAACCCUGAUGCAGCGACGCCGCGUGAUUUAGAAGGCCUUCGGGUUGUAAAAAUCUUUUCUAUGGGAAGAAAAUGACAGUACCAUAGGAAUAAGGACCGGCUAAUUACGUGCCAGCAGCCGCGGUAAUACGUAAGGUCCGAGCGUUGUCCGGAAUCAUUGGGCGUAAAGGGUACGUAGGCGGGUAAGCAAGUUAGAAGUGAAGUCCUAUAGCUCAAGUAUAGUAAGCUUUUAAAACUGCUCAUCUUGAGGUAUGGAAGGGAAAGUGGAAUUCCUAGUGUAGCGGUGAAAUGCGCAGAUAUUAGGAGGAAUACCGGUGGCGAAGGCGACUUUCUGGCCAUAACCUGACGCUGAGGUACGAAAGCGUGGGUAGCAAACAGG